rnacentral:misc_RNA from 1 species
AACGCACGAGACCUGCGGACCUGCGGAGGGAUCAUUACAAGUGACCCCGGUCUAACCACCGGGAUGUUCAUAACCCUUUGUUGUCCGACUCUGUUGCCUCCGGGGCGACCCUGCCUUCGGGCGGGGGCUCCGGGUGGACACUUCAAACUCUUGCGUAACUUUGCAGUCUGAGUAAACUUAAUUAAUAAAUUAAAACUUUCAACAAUGGAUCUCU